AAAAAAAUAAAGAAAAAUAAAAUAAACAUUGCCUGGUAUACAAUUAGUGCCAGGUAGACACUUAUAGUAGCAGUGAUGAUUGCUAAGGCUGCCUUAGGCUCUUCUCAAAACUCCUCAAAGCAGGCAGCCCUAGCUGUCACUCUCAGUGGUGGUAAGAGCUACUCUGGCUCUGAAUGUUCCAGGACGUUCAGAUGUUCUCAGUUCUUCUAAUAGAAGGACACCAAGGACCUGGAGGCUGGUGGUCAAAACUAGGAAGAGGAAGGCUUGAGUUAUGGCAAGGUGAGUGCCAUGCAGUUCCCCUGACUUCAGCCUCUAGUCUGUUAACCGGGUAGCCUUGGCGAUUCUCAAGUCUCAGGCCUCUGGGAGCUGAGGUUACUAAAACUGUCUCUGAAAAACUGCCUUUCACAAGGUUGCAUUUUGGUCCCCUCUUAGAAGAUGAAACCUCUGACUUCCCUUACGUGGAAGUGCUCUUGAGUUGACUUUGCAGGGAGUUCAGGCCUUCGGGGUUUGUGGCUUCACCUCCGCAUCAUGCUGUUUCCCAUUUUUCAGUUUCUCCACCUCUCAAAUUUCUGUGUCACCAGUAUCGCCAGCAGCAUAGGUCUCAUGGAGGCUUCUUCCCUGGCAACCAAGAAGAGUUAGCGUCACUCUUCGUUUCAAAAGCAUGCACUGUCCCUUGGGUGGCGACCUGCAUUUCCUAGAUCUUGGCACCGCCUCUCCUCGAGGCUCCGCCCCUGACCCGCCCCCUCCCAGAGUGCUUUGUGUCAGCUCUGGCCGAGUGGACAAGUGGACGCAGCUGGCUGCCGGACUUCGGGACUUCUCUCUCUGGAUCCCAUCCUGCCUGCGACACAGGGACAGGAAUGCAGCUGGCAGCAGCCUGUGGGGGCAGUCAGAAUCUGAGAAUUGGAAACCAAGGCUGCCAAAGAUCACACAGCUAGUUUAAGUGGUGAAGCUGCAAUUCUUACCCAGGAGCAAGCCAUCAAGGCUGGAGCUGGGCCUCCACCACAGCUGGACUGGAUCAGGUUGGAGUAACUUCCCCAAAGCCAGCUGGGAAAACCUCCAGGAUGCCGUUCCCGGGGAAGCCGACCCUGCUGCCACCCCCCCACCCCCCCCCGCCUCCUUCCAUUCAUGGAAAAGUACAGGCAGUACUGGUGCCCCACAAGCCUUCAGGCAAAUGCCUGGCUGCCCUCUGGACUCACAACGGCAAGCUCUGACUGGUUUGUCCUUGGUCCAGGGCUGGAGGAAAAUCGCUUCCCAAAAAAAGCAGUUUAAAAAAAAAUGUGGAAAAUAUACACAGCCCAAGUGUCUGCACAGAGCGGGGGCGGGAAGUCUUCUAGACAGCCUUGCAGAGAAGAUUCCAUGGUCCUCCUGCGAAGAGGCUGGAAGGAAUGUGAAACCCUAUCACCCGGAGGAGGGGAAAUGCACACUACGCCUUUCACUUUCUGCCCGCUCUAGGAAGGCGUCAGGGGUGUGGACCAUGCUGCACAGUCUGCUUCCUGAGAUGCUGCCUCCGACAGCUGUGGUUCAGCAGGUGGGCGAGGUUGGACCCCUGGUCUCUGGAGUGUCACUCAGGUGCUUGGGAGGAGCUGGGCCACGCAUCAGUUUCCUUCUGGAUGCUGAGGUUGCCCAAGCCUCCAGGUACUAACCUAACUCUGUUAUCUAUUCCUCUCUCCCUCCCUUACAUAGGGAUUGUUAGUUUUACAUGGGGGCUUCUCUGGUGGCUCAGAUGGUAAAGAGUCUGCCUGUAAUGCAGGAGAUCUGGGUUUGAUCCUUGGGUCGGGAAGAUCCCCUGGAGAAGGGAAUGGCAACCCACUCUAGUAUUCUUGCCUGCAAAAUACUCAUGGAUGGAGGGGCCUGGCGGGCUACAGUCCAUGGGGUCCCAAAGAGUUGGACACAACUGAGUGACUUUAUUCAGUUUUACAUAUGCUCUCAUUUGACACUUGCAGCAAGUAAGAAAGUGGGAUAUAGAUAUUACUGGACUUACUGGACAAAAGAAGCGAUCAAGGUUCAGGGAUGCCAUCUUCCUAAGGCCACAUGGAUAUCAGUCUUCUGUGAAUCCAGUGUCCUCACAGCACACCUCGUUGCCCUGUGCCCUUGACGCUCCAUGGGUCCCUGCUGUUGUUCUUUCAGAAGCAGGAGGUGCUGGCGAGUGUGUGUCUGGGAGUCAGGAGGCUGACAUACUGUGGCACUGGACUUGGCCCAUAGAUGGCUUACUGAGUGUGUGAAAGAGUGAAUGUGUAACCCUGGGCAAGACCUCACUUCUCUAUGCCACGGUUUCCUCACUUUGCAUGAUGCAGGUGUGGAGUUGGGUAAUCUCUAAGCCCCUUCCCAUUUCCAAAGUUUUGAGGUACUCCCUAUACUUUCUGAUCAAACACAAACUUUCUGGGUCUUGCCACCGAAGCCACCACGUUCUUCCUCGUCCACUCAGUCACGUUUCCCAGCACAGACCCUGCCGUGACCUGUCUUGAUACCCACUGCCCAGGUGCAGUGGGCCGAGUGUGGACUGAAAGCUCAGACCUGCUUUAGCCUCUGUACAGACACAGACCCAGGCCAGGUGGCCCACAGAUGUGUUUUUGAUUCCCUGAAUGACUCAGCCCUGGGAUACCUGAGUGAGGCUGGAUUUUGGGUGAGAAAGUGAAGGUGUGGGAGAAACUCAUGUGUCUUAGUGUUUAGGGGUGGGUGGUGAGGCAUUAUGCUAAAGAUCAGGGUGAGGGGCUAAGGUUUUUGACCAAGAAAGGGAGAGAUGCUCUGACUCCGUCACUGUGAGUCAGAUGUCUUCUGGAUCUAGAUUGAGUAUUGGAGGGUGUAUUUCCUUUUCCUAGUCUUAGAUGGCUGGGUGUCCUUGAUUGGACUAAUAGUAUGGGGCACAGAAAGGCAGGCAAUGGCUCUGACAGGUAUCAAGGAGCUGAGCCCUGUAGCCCCCAGGGUGGUCGAGGGCCUUGGAGGGCUUGU